AAAACAUUCUCUCUGAGAGAGAGGACAUCCGAAGUGAGUCGACUCAGUUUUGAAAGAGAGAGUCCGCGGAACCUCUGAACCACUAGCCAAUCCAUGUCAAUGGUGUGUUCAUCUUUAUCGUAUUUUCUUCCCCUUUCCCACCGCCUCUCUGUUCCCUAGGAUUCCUCCAUUAUUUCCUACCAGCCACAGAACUUCAAUCGCGUUGAGUAGUUCUACUAUUUCAUCAAUUUACCCCUUUGAAUUGUCCCUACUGUUAAUCGUCCGCGCUGGAAAUCUUUGGUUUUCAGCCAAUUCUAAUUGAUUUUGGACUUUGUAUUGUUCAAAUCUUAUCUGGGUCGUGUAAUCGGUAGAUUUCACUCUGUUCGUGUAGAACACGAAUCAAGAAGCUCAAUUUUCCAUCUGGGUUUCUCUGGUUUCAGUCUGUUCAGAUUAUCGGGAGAUUUAGGUGCUUUUUCACUCGAUUGGGGCUUGUUGCUUGUUCGUUGCCCUAAUGGACGACCACGAGGUUGAUUUUUCGAACCAGGAGGUGUUUUCGUCUGCAAACAUGGGCGGUGAACUUGCGAGUAGUUGCUCAAUGGACACCUUCUUUGAUGACCUGCUUAAGGACACUCACGCUUGCACUCACACCCACACUUGCAACCCACCUGGCCCCGAUUACUCCCACACACACACUUGCUUUCAUGUCCACACUAAAAUUGUGUCUUCAGCGAGUGAAGACAAGGCUGAUGAUACUUGUGAGUCUGGUGAAAAGAAAUCAAAGAAGCAGCCUUUGGGUAAUAAGGUAGCAGUUCGUAAGUACCGCGAGAAUAAGAAGGCGCGGGUUAAGUUGUUGGAGGCUGAAGUUGUGAAUUUGAGAGCUGAGAAUCGGCAGUUGGUGAUGAGGUUGCAGGGUCAGCCUGCAUUGGAGGCUGAGAUUGCUAGGCUCAAGUGUUUGCUUGUAGACAUUCGAGGAAGGAUUGAAGGAGAAAUUGGGUCUUUUCCAUAUCAGAAAUCAGUGAAUCCGAGCCUGCCCAAGCCAAAUAUGCCCAAUGCCUUUUUUAUGAAUCCAUGUAAUGUCCAGUGUGAUGAUCAGCUUUACUGCCCUCAUCCAGGGAUGGAUGGGAAAUGUGGAGAUGGUGCAAUGAUGAAUGGGCAGGAUUUUAACGGCUGUGAUUUUGAGAGUCUUCAGUGUUUGGUUAAUCAGGAUGGAGGAGCCAAGGAGCUUCCUGCAUGUGGGCCUGGAAAUGAGGCGUCAAAUGUAAAUUCAUCUGGCACAAGCAAGAGGAAAAGAAGGACUCGAGCCGCAGCAGCAAACUGAAAAAAUCAGUAAGGAAGCAUUGACAUUGUCCUGAAGAGUACAUUUAUCAUCAUGCAAUAAGUAGUUCUUCGAACUGCAGCAUCAGCUUUCGUUCAGAACAUAGAGAGGGUGGCAUGUGAUUCCCUUCAUGUUUCAGUACUAUGAGCUGUGAGCAGUAUAUUGCCCUUUGAGUGAUGCAUCUGCCAUCUGGCCAUUGCGAAGGUCAGUGGAAACCCUAUUUCCACCAUUGGCGUAAAGAUGACAAUGGCAAGGACGGGGAUGUCUGUAGGUUGAUUGCCUGCCUUUCGAUGGUCAGUCAAAUGAUGAAAAGAAUAUGAUUGAUUCGUAAAUGAGGGGAAAGGAUUCAAAGUGAUGGAAAAGAUGAUAUUUUGAGAGUAAUUGCUAGGAAGAAGAUUGUUAGAUUUUUAUUCAUGUUGGUCAUCAUAGAAGGGGAGAUGUUUGGCAUCUUUCCUGACAGGGACAGCAACGGCCUUCGCUUCAGGCUUACCAACUCAAGUCGGAUGAGGCAGUCAACCCAAGUCGGAUGGGAUUAGAUAUUGUCAGUGUCGGAAAUUACUGUGAAGAUGUCCAUCUUUUGUUGGUCGUACAAGGAUAAUUGCUUUGGGGCCAGGUCUUUAGCUUUUGACAAGGGGCCAUGGUUUAUAAAGUAGAUGCUUCAUUUUUCA